UUUCAUUUUUUUUUUUGCCGCAGCUCCUGCCAAACCUGUUCUGGAUGUCAAGCCGAUUUCUAGGAACGAGACGAGUGUUACAAUCCAUUGGAAUGUUGAUUACAACGGUGGCCAUGUAAUAACCUAAUACACAAUCAGGUGGAGAUCAGCAGCUUCCACUGCCUCACUGCACGAAGUGACAGUGUCCGUUCCUUCUCGUGAUGGACUCGUAAACCAGCAGCACGGGACGUGGAUGUUAACAGAGCUGAACAAAGGAACCAACCAUUUCUUUGAGAUCGAGGCAAUGAAUGAUGUUGGACUGAAUAGAUCAGAUGUGGUUAAAUAUACAACAUCAUGCUAUCCUGCUGCAUUGUCGUAUCCCCUGAUUACAAACAUACAUAAACUGUCAUCGUCGAGUGUCAGAUUUGUAUUUGACGUUUCUAUAGGCAAUGGUUGUGGUGUAAUAACUGACUAUUAUGUUACUGAUUGGGUGACAGGGAAGCAUCUUAAUUCAGUGUAUGUUGUCCAAGAUGGAUUGGUGACUGUGACUGUGACUGACUUGGAGGUAGGACGUGAGUAUGAUGUUGUGUUGUACACUCGAAAUCAGUGGGAGAAGAGAUACAAGGAGCUCGUGUGUCGUUUCAAGUAGAUGAAGAUAUAAAUUCAACUACAGGAUUUAGACCUCAUAGUUCGAAUGAUGGUUUGGGCACUGGUCAAACUGUAGCCAUUAUUGUUAUGUGUGUGGUCGUAUUACCAGCCAUUCUACUCGCUUUCAUAUUUUGUCUCUACAAGAAACACAGAUCAAGAAAGGAUGACGACGAUGAUGACACUCUUGAUUUUGUGCCUGGAAUAUUCAAGCAAACAACAACUCCACAAUACAGAUACGACGAAUGCGAUACAAAACCUCAUCCUUCAUUGUAGGGUCCUAAUAGUGGCAGCACAUAUGUUAAUAUUUCUGGAUCUAAGCGAAGAAUUCGACAGCCUUCUCUGACAUUGGUGACCUUACCUGGAGAACAUGAAGUUAAGAGUGGCAGUUUGCAUCUACAGAAAGUCAAUAUUUCGUCAUCAGAUUAUUGUGAGAAGACUAUGGAAGAGCUGCUGCAAGAUUCAUAUGUUGAUAUGAAGGCGCGAACAAGUGGCAUUGUAUCUAAACUGGCUUUUAUCAAAACGAUGGAACGAGCAUCACCUGAUGGAAGUCAUACUCUUGCAGUGGUGAGUGUCACCUCCUCUAAGAAAACUGGAAUUGUGGAUGAUGACAAGACAGCUCAAUCGAGUUCAGGCAGCUCAGGGUAUGCUCCAUGUGCUUCAGAACUGAAUGACACAACUCACUGACACGGACUGAAAGCAAGUGUAUACAACGAUGUGUUGACUUCAGGUGAAGAUAAUCAGGAACACGAUGACGUGGAUAUACAAACAGUCGAGCCCAACAGAAAUGAUGAAAAUGGCCAGUUUGAUGACAUUGAAAACACAUACAUGGAGAUGAAACUGUCUGUAUCCAAUAACAAACAGAACGAGACAGGCAAGAAAUACAAAGUCGGUGACUCUGAAAACGAGUCUCAAGGUGGAAAGAAUCUGUCCACACUAGUGUGAUGAUGACAACAUGGAACAUUGGGAACAGGUUGGUAGAUUAGAGUAGAGAAGUCAUAGACAUCAGUAGUUACUAAUCUCUAUUCAUAUGCUCGCCCUAUGUAAGCCAUCCAUCCCCAUAGAUUUAUAGAACUGCAUGCUGGCAUAUCAGUAAUUAAUUAAUAGACAUAUCUAUUGUGCUGUAGCCAGUAGGAUACACCAACUGAACUGCAGCCGAUCACCAUAGUAAAUAUUAUUACUCUAUUUGCCACAAAU